GCAGCUGGAGAUUGGACACUAAACAGUUAAACCUUUGACUCCUCCUCCUGCUCUGGGCUUCAUCCCCUGCCUCCUCCUACUAACUCCAGUUUCGUUUAGUGUCCUCAGAAGGAGAAGACAUAACUUUUGGUGGCUGGAGCAACUGAUCACAACUACUUGUUAAGAUCACGCCACACUAAGGGGCCAUUGAUACUUUUCAGGUGCCUCUCCAGCUCUACUUUUUUUUUUCCUAUGCCCUACAGCCUUCCCGCUCUACGGAGGUCUGCAGGCUUGCUCCUCUCUCCCUGCGCUGCUUCCCGCUCUUCGGAGGCCUGCAGCAGCGCUAUACACCCUACUGGAUGUAUUUUCUAAUACAGAUACAGAUAUAUGUGGUUCCUUCAUAUAUAUUUUUAUUUGUGUUUGUACAGGGAGAAUUUACAAACGGGCUUGGAUUAGCUGGCAUCGGAUGGUUCUCAUACCACAGAGACAACAGCUGCCAUCUACCCUGCUUCGGCGGGGGUCCCCUGCCUCCUUCUUUUAAAUUAAUAAUAAAA